GGAGGUUGGUGGCUCUGCAUGUGGCAGGGGGUUGGAGAUUCAUGAUCCUUGAGGUCCCUUCCAACCCGGGCCAUUCUCUGAUUCACUGAGCAAAGAGCCAGCAGUCCAUGCUGCUCCAUGUGCUGAAACAGGUGGGAAGGAGACUUUGUGGGGAGGUACAAACCCGAGGUGCUGAUCAAUCAGUUUGAUCAGGGCGGUGCUGCCAGGCUGUGGCAGGAGGGCUGUGUCAGUGAGCUGGAGGUGCACGAUGCCUGGCUACCAGCAAGGGCAGCCCAGGAGGUGUGGAGCAGCUGGGUGAGGCACUGGGCUCUGUGUCACGGUCAGGGCGAGGCUUUACAAACAAGGCUUUCAGAGUCCACAGUUCACAGUGCUUGUUUGUCAGUCUUCCCUUCCCUGUUUGUAUUUGGGGUUUGAGAGCCAGUCUGUAACUAUCACUGGAAUAGUGCCUUUUCAGAAGGAUUUAAUUGCUUUUCCCUUUUCCCCCAGUGCUGGGUGGUGCUGCAGUUUGUGGCUCAGCAGGGGUUUGGUUAGCUGGAAGGGUUCUGUACCCACCCCAUUUCCUGGCCCUUUCACAACUUCCUUCCCUUGAGCCUCACACUGUGCAGUCACUGAGAUUUUAAAAACAAUUUUACAUAGAUUUAAGAAGCCUACCACCAACUUGGAGGAUUGGAGGUCUUUUCUUUUAGAAACCUCCAUCAGCCCUCUUGGGCGCAGCCAGUGAACACACAAUGCUCGUGCUAAGCAUCUCUGCAAUGGCAAAAACAAUUUACAGGCCGCUGAAAGUACCGCAGAUUAAAGAGAUAAUAAAGGGGAGCUGGGUAAAGAAACCCUCUGUUUGUAUCAGUUCUCAUUGGGGCAUAUGUUUUUCAAUUCAGUAAAGUUGAGUGAUGUGUUGUCCCCGUAGCUGUUACACAAUUCUAAGUCUUAGCAGAGCCACAAAGUUUAGUGAUAGCAUAUUAAAAAAAAAGAAAAAGAAAAAAAGCAAACAGUCUGUAGCACCUGGUGAGCUAGUACCUGAUGUCUCCAGGAUGGUACAGAGGAGCUUCAUUAAUAAAUCAUUGAAUAUUUUAAGUUGGAAGAUACAUUAAAGAUAAUCUAGCUCCAACCCCCCUACUGUGGGCUGGCAGCCCAGAGCCCCAUCCAGCCUGGCUUUGAGCACCCCCAGGGAUGGGGCACCCACUGCUCUCUGGCCUCACUGCCCUCUGAGAAAAGAAUUGCUUCCUAACUUCCAAUUAAAUCUUUAACGCUUUAUUUUGUAACACCACCCACAGGAGGUAAAGGCUGUGUUGUCACCUCCCCAGAACCAUACCCAGAUACACACUGUAGACAACUUAAACCCAUCAGCACAGCAGUUAGUAAGUUCAUGCUUUUUGCCAGGAACCAGCGUGUUGCUGGAAAAUGAUGGCAGUAAGUAACUGCUGGCUCAAUCAUGGAUGGGAGUACAUUAAUGAGUCUCCAGCCCUUCAGCCUGGAGUCAUAUCUGGGAGCUCUUUAAGUUGACUAUGUGCACACAACUGCUAGCAUCAAAGUGAACACUAAAAUACCCGUCUUUGGUUUCGAAAGUUCAUGCAACGGGCUGAAAUCACAUAGAGUGUUUGCAACACCAGUGCACAGGGCUGCCAGGAAGCAUUGUCAGGGUCCCCACCAGCCCCAGGCCGUGGCUUUGGGGCAGAAUGAGUCCCCAACUCACCUGAGCAAAGCAGAUAGUCCUGGGGUGGUGCAGCAGUGUAUGGCAGCUCCCAGAUCUGCGGUGUCUGUCCUGCACUCCUUUGGUAUCUACACCAUCGCAGCACCUUUCAAUGCUGUUGCAUUUUUCCCUACUUCUGAUUGCAGGUACAGGCUCCAAAGCUGAGCAGUGAACUGCAUUGGCAGAGGAUGGGCAAAGAUGAAAUGAAGGUAACACCACUUUCCAAGUAAACCUGGUGGGAAAGGAGCUGUAGGGUAUCCGGAAACCUCCAUCCUAGUGGUGCAUUCCUCAACUCUUGCCAGUGAAGCCACUGCUGGUGUUGAGCUUAGAGUCAUUGAAGCUUUAUCAAGAAAAGCUUCAAAUCAGCUAGCCUUUCCUACCAUCUGAUCAUGUACUGGUGAACAGUAGUUGGGUACAUUUUCAAAUUGGACAUCGUGCUUAACGUCCUUUUGGUUCCAACCUGCGUUCCAGCACAUUCAGAACUCACACUUGUUUCCCCCGUUGAGUUGCAUCAGGACAAAGCAAGUGGAAUUUAUCAGAUCUUACCAUCAUCAGACAACACCAAGGAGGCAGCAGACGUUCAAAUGCAGAUCAGAGAGCACGUUUCAUCUGCAUGCACGUUAUGUGGCUGAAGUGAACUGGUUUGAGAACUGGCAUUAAAUGUGUCCAGCUGGCAGUUAAUGUACCAACCUUUGACCUGCAGCAGGCAGCUUCAGAGGAAGGGCAGGGCUGGUGGCAGCACCAUCAGUGCUGUUUGCUCAUACAGCUCUGGCUGCCCUCUGUCCUCACUGUCCUCUGAGUAAAGACAAAGGAGACAAGUUGGGACUGAGAAGCAGUUUCUGUUGCGCUCUGGCUCUGACUCAGCCCCCUCCAUGGGCCAGCAGUGCCACCUACCAGCAUUUAGAGUGGAGAAAUGAGCAACCAGGCUUGGUGUUAUCCACACCAAGCAAUCACAACAUGCUUUUAAAAAGCAAUAUGCUCUGCAUGUGUGCUGGCACACGCAUCUGCCUCGGCUCUGUCCUGGGAACAUUACCAUCACUGAUAGCAUUUCCAUCUGGAAGUAAGAAAACUGAGAUAAUGUCAAAUGGAAUUACGUGACACUGAGCUUGGGAGAGGUGCCCUGAGCUCACAGCAUGGCCUUGUGCUUUGGCGAGAGGCUCUUACACCCAGUGCCAUCAGCAGAAGGGCAGACCUGAGCAGUUUGUUCUUUACGCCGCACACCUUUCCAGAGCCAGUGCUCCAUGUGCGGAUGUGCUUCUCACAGAUUAUCACCACUGAGCAAUUUGUAUCUGCAGGCAUGAGAGCAAAAAGGCAAAGGGUCAGAGCUCCAGCCUGGAAUAAAUCACAGCGAGCCCCUAGCGCGGAGCAUGAGAGAAACGAGCAACAGGGGAGAUGGAAAAGAACAGGCUGUGUCCUGACAGGCAGACCUCAGCAAGACAGAUUUAGCUCUCGUUCAGCCAGGAGGAUGUUUGUCACUGCGAGGACAGGCCUAAAUUAUUUUUAGAGGAUGCAUCAUGAGUCCGCAGCUUUAAAGGACAGUGAAAGAAAGAUCAACUUGUCUGGUGAGGGCUUAUCCUGUUCUGUCAGAGCACUUGCAGCCCUGGGAAGCUGAGGAAUGUGUCAGUACAUACAAGACACCAUGUGCUGCUAGAAGUACAAUGCCUGCUUUUAUUGCUGCUAGCUGUAACACUAGCAGUCAGCAAACCCUGACAUCACACAUGCUGUCCUUACCCUGGGCCACGCACACAGCAGCGUGCCUGCAGGCUGAGCCCAACAGAGCAUUUCUCAAUAAAACACCCUGGAGAUCCAAAAA